rnacentral:lncRNA from 1 species
GCCAUCAAAAAUAACGUAUUAAAUUCGAGUGUGAGACAUCACAUAAGUACGCUUUUCAAUAAACUUUGUAAGGAAGUUCACGAUUACUUUCAUAGCAUUUAUGAGCAUCCCCUGUGAAUUAUUAUGAAGACAGUUUGCAAAUUUGUUUGGAAUUAGAAAGCAAAAUUUUUACCACUUUCAUAGUACCGUUGGUUCUGGUGGAGCUACUGCCACUUAAAUUCGAUUUGCACUAAUCAUCUAGUCACACUUUAGAUAGAAAUAAUCGUUUCACACGUAUACAGAUGCAUGACUUCAUGGAAAUUAGUCUUUUUUUUUUUUUUUUUUUUUUUUUUUUUUUUGGAAAUUAGUCUUUGGAAGGCUCUUAAUUAGAAUCACACCAUAUUUAUAAAAAAAAAGACUUUAAAGAUUGUGGCAUCUAAUUAUGUUGACCUACUUUUAUAUCGUAUAUGACUUCACGUUUAUAAUGUUUCAUACUAAAACAAUACUUUGUUGUAUUUUGUGUGAAACUAUCUCAAAUUGAUUAUAUAUAUUUGAUAGAUAAAACUGAUUACAUGAUUACGCAUAUGUGAAUGUAUAAAAUCUUAUAUAUCAUUGUCUUUAUAAAUCUGCAUGUGUUUCAUUUCACAAUUGGCAUUUCUUUUCCAAAUUAUUCACUUAUACUCACCACAGAAUUUGAAGUCAUGUCAUAAUGUUAGUAUAAACCCCUGAGCUGCCGAGUUUAAUCGUAGCAUAUGAUAUUGGUAAUAUAUGUUAGUUAUUU